UGGGGAAUAUUGGACAAUGGGCGAAAGCCUGAUCCAGCCAUGCCGCGUGUGUGAAGAAGGUCUUCGGAUUGUAAAGCACUUUAAGUUGGGAGGAAGGGCAGUAAGCGAAUACCUUGCUGUUUUGACGUUACCGACAGAAUAAGCACCGGCUAACUCUGUGCCAGCAGCCGCGGUAAUACAGAGGGUGCAAGCGUUAAUCGGAAUUACUGGGCGUAAAGCGCGCGUAGGUGGUUCGUUAAGUUGAAUGUGAAAGCCCCGGGCUCAACCUGGGAACUGCAUCCAAAACUGGCGAGCUAGAGUAGGGCAGAGGGUGGUGGAAUUUCCUGUGUAGCGGUGAAAUGCGUAGAUAUAGGAAGGAACACCAGUGGCGAAGGCGACCACCUGGGCUCAUACUGACACUGAGGUGCGAAAGCGUGGGGAGCAAACAGGA
rnacentral:rRNA from 1 species